UUAAGCGACUAAGCGUACACGGUGGAUGCCCUGGCAGUCAGAGGCGAUGAAGGACGUGCUAAUCUGCGAUAAGCGUCGGUAAGGUGAUAUGAACCGUUAUAACCGGCGAUUUCCGAAUGGGGAAACCCAGUGUGAUUCGUCACACUAUCAUUAACUGAAUCCAUAGGUUAAUGAGGCGAACCGGGGGAACUGAAACAUCUAAGUACCCCGAGGAAAAGAAAUCAACCGAGAUUCCCCCAGUAGCGGCGAGCGAACGGGGAGCAGCCCAGAGCCUGAAUCAGUGUGUGUGUUAGUGGAAGCGUCUGGAAAGGCGCGCGAUACAGGGUGACAGCCCCGUACACAAAAAUGCACAUACUGUGAGCUCGAUGAGUAGGGCGGGACACGUGGUAUCCUGUCUGAAUAUGGGGGGACCAUCCUCCAAGGCUAAAUACUCCUGACUGACCGAUAGUGAACCAGUACCGUGAGGGAAAGGCGAAAAGAACCCCGGCGAGGGGAGUGAAAAAGAACCUGAAACCGUGUACGUACAAGCAGUGGGAGCACAGAGCAAUCUGUGUGACUGCGUACCUUUUGUAUAAUGGGUCAGCGACUUAUAUUCUGUAGCAAGGUUAACCGAAUAGGGGAGCCGAAGGGAAACCGAGUCUUAACUGGGCGUUAAGUUGCAGGGUAUAGACCCGAAACCCGGUGAUCUAGCCAUGGGCAGGUUGAAGGUUGGGUAACACUAACUGGAGGACCGAACCGACUAAUGUUGAAAAAUUAGCGGAUGACUUGUGGCUGGGGGUGAAAGGCCAAUCAAACCGGGAGAUAGCUGGUUCUCCCCGAAAGCUAUUUAGGUAGCGCCUCGUGAAUUCAUCUCCGGGGGUAGAGCACUGUUUCGGCAAGGGGGUCAUCCCGACUUACCAACCCGAUGCAAACUGCGAAUACCGGAGAAUGUUAUCACGGGAGACACACGGCGGGUGCUAACGUCCGUCGUGAAGAGGGAAACAACCCAGACCGCCAGCUAAGGUCCCAAAGUCAUGGUUAAGUGGGAAACGAUGUGGGAAGGCCCAGACAGCCAGGAUGUUGGCUUAGAAGCAGCCAUCAUUUAAAGAAAGCGUAAUAGCUCACUGGUCGAGUCGGCCUGCGCGGAAGAUGUAACGGGGCUAAACCAUGCACCGAAGCUGCGGCAGCGACGCUUAUGCGUUGUUGGGUAGGGGAGCGUUCUGUAAGCCUGUGAAGGUGUACUGUGAGGUAUGCUGGAGGUAUCAGAAGUGCGAAUGCUGACAUAAGUAACGAUAAAGCGGGUGAAAAGCCCGCUCGCCGGAAGACCAAGGGUUCCUGUCCAACGUUAAUCGGGGCAGGGUGAGUCGACCCCUAAGGCGAGGCCGAAAGGCGUAGUCGAUGGGAAACAGGUUAAUAUUCCUGUACUUGGUGUUACUGCGAAGGGGGGACGGAGAAGGCUAUGUUGGCCGGGCGACGGUUGUCCCGGUUUAAGCGUGUAGGCUGGUUUUCCAGGCAAAUCCGGAAAAUCAAGGCUGAGGCGUGAUGACGAGGCACUACGGUGCUGAAGCAACAAAUGCCCUGCUUCCAGGAAAAGCCUCUAAGCAUCAGGUAACAUCAAAUCGUACCCCAAACCGACACAGGUGGUCAGGUAGAGAAUACCAAGGCGCUUGAGAGAACUCGGGUGAAGGAACUAGGCAAAAUGGUGCCGUAACUUCGGGAGAAGGCACGCUGAUAUGUAGGUGAAGUCCCUCGCGGAUGGAGCUGAAAUCAGUCGAAGAUACCAGCUGGCUGCAACUGUUUAUUAAAAACACAGCACUGUGCAAACACGAAAGUGGACGUAUACGGUGUGACGCCUGCCCGGUGCCGGAAGGUUAAUUGAUGGGGUUAGCGCAAGCGAAGCUCUUGAUCGAAGCCCCGGUAAACGGCGGCCGUAACUAUAACGGUCCUAAGGUAGCGAAAUUCCUUGUCGGGUAAGUUCCGACCUGCACGAAUGGCGUAAUGAUGGCCAGGCUGUCUCCACCCGAGACUCAGUGAAAUUGAACUCGCUGUGAAGAUGCAGUGUACCCGCGGCAAGACGGAAAGACCCCGUGAACCUUUACUAUAGCUUGACACUGAACAUUGAGCCUUGAUGUGUAGGAUAGGUGGGAGGCUUUGAAGUGUGGACGCCAGUCUGCAUGGAGCCGACCUUGAAAUACCACCCUUUAAUGUUUGAUGUUCUAACGUGGACCCGUAAUCCGGGUUGCGGACAGUGUCUGGUGGGUAGUUUGACUGGGGCGGUCUCCUCCUAAAGAGUAACGGAGGAGCACGAAGGUUGGCUAAUCCUGGUCGGACAUCAGGAGGUUAGUGCAAUGGCAUAAGCCAGCUUGACUGCGAGCGUGACGGCGCGAGCAGGUGCGAAAGCAGGUCAUAGUGAUCCGGUGGUUCUGAAUGGAAGGGCCAUCGCUCAACGGAUAAAAGGUACUCCGGGGAUAACAGGCUGAUACCGCCCAAGAGUUCAUAUCGACGGCGGUGUUUGGCACCUCGAUGUCGGCUCAUCACAUCCUGGGGCUGAAGUAGGUCCCAAGGGUAUGGCUGUUCGCCAUUUAAAGUGGUACGCGAGCUGGGUUUAGAACGUCGUGAGACAGUUCGGUCCCUAUCUGCCGUGGGCGCUGGAGAACUGAGGGGGGCUGCUCCUAGUACGAGAGGACCGGAGUGGACGCAUCACUGGUGUUCGGGUUGUCAUGCCAAUGGCACUGCCCGGUAGCUAAAUGCGGAAGAGAUAAGUGCUGAAAGCAUCUAAGCACGAAACUUGCCCCGAGAUGAGUUCUCCCUGACUCCUUGAGAGUCCUGAAGGAACGUUGAAGACGACGACGUUGAUAGGCCGGGUGUGUAAGCGCAGCGAUGCGUUGAGCUAACCGGUACUAAUGAACCGUGAGGCUUAACCUU
rnacentral:rRNA from 1 species